rnacentral:lncRNA from 1 species
AUUGAUUAUUUUAAUUAAUUAAUAAGUAUAAUUUAUAAACCCCCUCAUUACUAAUUAAACUCGUCCCAAUUAAUACACUCACCCCAAAUUAUAAUUACCCACCAAUUAAACAUAACCCUUUCACCAUUCAUUCCCAACACCUGUAUAGAAUCAUUGCUUAAUUACUCAAUUAUGUGUCUCUUCUCUGUAUAUUUUUAGCUAUAUUAGAUUUGACUUAUAUUUCUGUUCAUUUCCCUCAUCAAAGUAAGGUUGAUUAGGUUGUUAGAACAAAAAAUUAAGUCAAAUCUCUUGUCUUGUAUUUCAAACUCUUAAUCGAUCAUUUGUCACAAAA